rnacentral:rRNA from 2 species
UUAAGCGACUAAGCGUACACGGUGGAUGCCCUGGCAGUCAGAGGCGAUGAAGGACGUGCUAAUCUGCGAAAAGCGCCGGCGAGGUGAUAUGAACCUUUGACCCGGCGAUGUCCGAAUGGGGAAACCCAGUGCAAUCCGUUGCACUAUCGUUAACUGAAUACAUAGGUUAACGAGGCGAACCGGGGGAACUGAAACAUCUAAGUACCCCGAGGAAAAGAAAUCAACCGAGAUUCCCCCAGUAGCGGCGAGCGAACGGGGAGCAGCCCGGAGUCUGAAUCAGCUUGUGUGUUAGUGGAACGGUCUGGAAAGUCCGACGGUACAGGGUGAUAGUCCCGUACACGAAAGCACACAUGCUGUGAACUCGAAGAGUAGGGCGGGACACGUGGUAUCCUGUCUGAAUAUGGGGGGACCAUCCUCCAAGGCUAAAUACUCCUGACUGACCGAUAGUGAACCAGUACCGUGAGGGAAAGGCGAAAAGAACCCCGGCGAGGGGAGUGAAAAAGAACCUGAAACCGUGUACGUACAAGCAGUGGGAGCCUCUUUAUGGGGUGACUGCGUACCUUUUGUAUAAUGGGUCAGCGACUUAUAUUCUGUAGCAAGGUUAACCGUAUAGGGGAGCCGAAGGGAAACCGAGUCUUAACUGGGCGUUAAGUUGCAGGGUAUAGACCCGAAACCCGGUGAUCUAGCCAUGGGCAGGUUGAAGGUUGGGUAACACUAACUGGAGGACCGAACCGACUAAUGUUGAAAAAUUAGCGGAUGACCUGUGGCUGGGGGUGAAAGGCCAAUCAAACCGGGAGAUAGCUGGUUCUCCCCGAAAGCUAUUUAGGUAGCGCCUCGUGAAUUCAUCUUCGGGGGUAGAGCACUGUUUCGGCUAGGGGGCCAUCCCGGCUUACCAACCCGAUGCAAACUACGAAUACCGAAGAAUGUUAUCACGGGAGACACACGGCGGGUGCUAACGUCCGUCGUGAAGAGGGAAACAACCCAGACCGCCAGCUAAGGUCCCAAAGUCAUGGUUAAGUGGGAAACGAUGUGGGAAGGCACAGACAGCCAGGAUGUUGGCUUAGAAGCAGCCAUCAUUUAAAGAAAGCGUAAUAGCUCACUGGUCGAGUCGGCCUGCGCGGAAGAUGUAACGGGGCUAAACCAUGCACCGAAGCUGCGGCAGCGACGCUUAUGCGUUGUUGGGUAGGGGAGCGUUCUGUAAGCCGUUGAAGGUGUCCUGUGAGGGGUGCUGGAGGUAUCAGAAGUGCGAAUGCUGACAUAAGUAACGAUAAAGCGGGUGAAAAGCCCGCUCGCCGGAAGACCAAGGGUUCCUGUCCAACGUUAAUCGGGGCAGGGUGAGUCGACCCCUAAGGCGAGGCCGAAAGGCGUAGUCGAUGGGAAACAGGUUAAUAUUCCUGUACUUGGUGUUACUGCGAAGGGGGGACGGAGAAGGCUAUGUCAGCCGGGCGACGGUUGUCCCGGUUUAAGCAUGUAGGCGGAGGUUCCAGGUAAAUCCGGUACCUUAUUAACGCUGAGGUGUGAUGACGAGGCACUACGGUGCUGAAGUGAUAAAUGCCCUGCUUCCAGGAAAAGCCUCUAAGCAUCAGGUAACACGAAAUCGUACCCCAAACCGACACAGGUGGUCAGGUAGAGAAUACCAAGGCGCUUGAGAGAACUCGGGUGAAGGAACUAGGCAAAAUGGUGCCGUAACUUCGGGAGAAGGCACGCUGAUAUGUAGGUGAAGUCCCUGCGGACGGAGCUGAAAUCAGUCGAAGAUACCAGCUGGCUGCAACUGUUUAUUAAAAACACAGCACUGUGCAAACACGAAAGUGGACGUAUACGGUGUGACGCCUGCCCGGUGCCGGAAGGUUAAUUGAUGGGGUUAGCGGCAACGCGAAGCUCUUGAUCGAAGCCCCGGUAAACGGCGGCCGUAACUAUAACGGUCCUAAGGUAGCGAAAUUCCUUGUCGGGUAAGUUCCGACCUGCACGAAUGGCGUAAUGAUGGCCAGGCUGUCUCCACCCGAGACUCAGUGAAAUUGAACUCGCUGUGAAGAUGCAGUGUACCCGCGGCAAGACGGAAAGACCCCGUGAACCUUUACUAUAGCUUGACACUGAACACUGGUCCUUGAUGUGUAGGAUAGGUGGGAGGCUUUGAAGCGUGGACGCCAGUCUGCGUGGAGCCAACCUUGAAAUACCACCCUUUAAUGGCUGGUGUUCUAACGUAGACCCGUAAUCCGGGUUGCGGACAGUGUCUGGUGGGUAGUUUGACUGGGGCGGUCUCCUCCCAAAGAGUAACGGAGGAGCACGAAGGUUGGCUAAUCCUGGUCGGACAUCAGGAGGUUAGUGCAAUGGCAUAAGCCAGCUUGACUGCGAGCGUGACGGCGCGAGCAGGUGCGAAAGCAGGUCAUAGUGAUCCGGUGGUUCUGAAUGGAAGGGCCAUCGCUCAACGGAUAAAAGGUACUCCGGGGAUAACAGGCUGAUACCGCCCAAGAGUUCAUAUCGACGGCGGUGUUUGGCACCUCGAUGUCGGCUCAUCACAUCCUGGGGCUGAAGUAGGUCCCAAGGGUAUGGCUGUUCGCCAUUUAAAGUGGUACGCGAGCUGGGUUUAGAACGUCGUGAGACAGUUCGGUCCCUAUCUGCCGUGGGCGCUGGAGAAUUGAGGGGGGCUGCUCCUAGUACGAGAGGACCGGAGUGGACGCAUCACUGGUGUUCGGGUUGUCAUGCCAAUGGCACUGCCCGGUAGCUAAAUGCGGAAGAGAUAAGUGCUGAAAGCAUCUAAGCACGAAACUUGCCCCGAGAUGAGUUCUCCCUGAGACCUUGAGUCUCCUGAAGGAACGUUGAAGACGACGACGUUGAUAGGUCGGGUGUGUAAGCGCAGCGAUGCGUUGAGCUAACCGAUACUAAUGAACCGUGAGGCUUAACCUU